UGAAUGGGCAAUGUUGUGUUGAUACGC
rnacentral:piRNA from 1 species